UACAGAGGGUGCAAGCGUUGUUCGGAAUUAUUGGGCGUAAAGCGCGUGUAGGCGGCUUGGCAAGUCGGGUGUGAAAGCCCUCAGCUCAACUGAGGAAGUGCGCCCGAAACUGCUGAGCUCGAGUACCGGAGAGGGUGGCGGAAUUCCCCAAGUAGAGGUGAAAUUCGUAGAGAUGGGGAGGAACACCGGUGGCGAAGGCGGCCACCUGGACGGUCACUGACGCUGAGACGCGAAAGCGUGGGUAGCAAACAGGAUUAGAUACCCUGGUAGUCCACGCCGUAAACGAUGAGAACUAGGUGUCGUGGGAGUUGACCCCCGCGGUGCCGUAGCUAACGCAUUAAGUUCUCCGCCUGGGAAGUACGGUCGCAAGACUAAA
rnacentral:rRNA from 1 species